GAGAAUAAGGUAGUUAGAUUCCAUCACCGACUCAACAGACAUGAGUUUGAGCAAACUCCCAGAGAUAGUGAAGGACAGGGAAGCCUAGCGUGCUGCAGUCCAUGGGGUCGCAAAGAAUCGGACAUGACUUAGCGACUGAACAACAAGAUGACAUGUGAUGAAGAACAUCUUUUCAAAUGCUUAUUUACCAUCUGUAUAUCUCCUUUGGUGAAGUGUAUAUUCAGGUUUUGGGUCCAUUUUUAAAUCGGAUCAUUUGUUUUCUUAUUGAAUUUUAAGAGUUCUUUGUAUAUUUUGGAUAACAGUUCUUUAUCAGAUGUUUUUUGCAAGUAUUUUCUCCCAGUCUUUGGUUUGUCUUCUCAUUCUCUUGACAUUGUCUUUUACGAAGCAGAAGUUUUUAAUUUUAAUUUUAAUGAAGUCUAGCUUCUUAUUAAUUCUUUCUUCUCAUUGUUUCAUAAAUUGUGCCUCUGAUACUGUAUAUGAAAAAUCAUCACCAUAUUCAAAAUCAGCUAGGUUUCCUCCUGUGUUAACUUUCUACAGCUUUGUGGAUAUGUUUAGGUCUAUGACUCAUUUUAAUUUUUGUGAAGGGUGUAAGGUAUGUGUCUAGACUCUUGUUUUUUUUUGCCUGUGGAGGAUGUCCAGUUGUUUUAGCACCAUUUGUUGAGAAGACUAAAUUCAUUUGAUUUUCAAACUAAACUUUGAGGUGGGCAUUUUUAGCCCAUACUUUUCAGAUUAAAAAACUGAGGCACAGAGAGGUUUUGUAAGUCACUCAGAGUAAUACAGGCAGACAUGACAGAGCUGAGAUUUGAUCCCAGGCAACCUGACUCUUGAGUCCAUGCAUUCAAUCCCUAUCUAUAAAAAUAAUGUCUCCUUAAUAGGUUUGUAGUGAGGAAGAGACAUAGUGUUUAGCACAUGGUACGUGCUCAGAAAGCAAUUGUGAUAGUCAUUGUGCUCCCUAGCUUCCCAGGUUUCAUUGAAGCGUCAUGUCCUCAGAGCAGCUUUCUUUCAUUCCUUCAGCCAAAUGAGCCAUCCAUCACAGCAUCAUCUCAUCAUCCAAGGGAUGACAGUGUGGUGAAUCCUGUGGGCAUGCUAAGUCGCUUUAGUCAUGUCUGACUCUUUGCCACCCAUGGACGGAGCCUGCCAGUCUCCUCUGUCCUUGGGAUUCUCCAGGCAAGAAUACUGAAGUGGGUUGCCACGCCCUCCUCCAUGGGAUCUUUCUGACCCAGGGAUCGAACCCGCGUCCCCCGCAUUGGCAGGCAGGUUCUUUACCACUAGGGCCAUCUAGGAAGCCCGUGGUGAAUCCUACUGAGGUCAAAGUUCACCCCUCGCCCUCACCAUGAUCGCCCAGCUAAUCCUCAGCUCUUAGCUCCUGAAUCCCCUCGCUUGAACCUUCCCUGGUGUGUCAGGUUGAGCCACCUCUGCCUGGAGAAGUUCCGGGUUGGGCUGUUUAUGGAGGCAGCUGCCCUUGUCUGCUACACCCUUCUUCCUGCACCACCCGGCUCAGUUUCUUCCACAUUCUGGGUACCUCCCUUCAGU
ensembl:lncRNA